rnacentral:rRNA from 1 species
CCCUUGUCAUUAGUUGCUACSAAAGAGCACUCUAAUGAGACUGCCGGUGACAAACCGGAGGAAGGUGGGGAUGACGUCAAGUCCUCAUGGCCCUUAUGGGUAGGGCUUCACACGUCAUACAAUGGUACAUACAGAGCGCCGCCAACCCGCGAGGGGGAGCUAAUCSCAGAAAGUGUAUCGUAGUCCGGAUUGUAGUCUGCAACUCGACUGCAUGAAGUUGGAAUCGCUAGUAAUCGCGGAUCAGCAUGUCGCGGUGAAUACGUUCCCGGGUCUU